UAGGGAAUCUUCGGCAAUGGGGGGAACCCUGACCGAGCAACGCCGCGUGAGUGAAGAAGGUUUUCGGAUCGUAAAGCUCUGUUGUUAAGGAAGAACGAGUGUGAGAAUGGAAAGUUCAUGCUGUGACGGUACUUAACCAGAAAGGGACGGCUAAUUACUUGCCAGCAGCCGCGGUAAUACGUAGGUCCCGAGCGUUGUCCGGAUUUAUUGGGCGUAAAGCGAGCGCAGGCGGUUAGAAAAGUCUGAAGUGAAAGGCAGUGGCUCAACCAUUGUAGGCUUUGGAAACUGUUUAACUUGAGUGCAGAAGGGGAGAGUGGAAUUCCAUGUGUAGCGGUGAAAUGCGUAGAUAUAUGGAGGAACACCGGUGGCGAAAGCGGCUCUCUGGUCUGUAACUGACGCUGAGGCUCGAAAGCGUGGGGAGCGAACAGG
rnacentral:rRNA from 1 species